UCUCGCCUCCUCGUCUCCUCGUCGCUGUGGUAUGCCGCGGAUGCUCGCGCGUGCGCGCGCGUCCGCGCUCUCGUCCGCGUCGAAUUCAGAUGACAGAUUGCUUGAUGCGCGCACGAGAAAACGCUCGACGGUGCGAUAUGAUAAUGGUGUGACGAACAAUCUCGUUGAUGAUCACAAAAAGUCCUGCGUGCGUUGCCCACCAGACGUGCCUCGUCUAUAGUCUUCGCAUCUGAUUGUCUGACAGGACGAAGGUGACACACAGGUGAAGAAGGACACAACGUUCUUGCGAGGCGAUCGAUUUUGGAGUUUUCGCACUUGGGAUCGCGGCGGGAAGGCUCUCGCGAAGGAGCGAAACGGAUCAGAGGAGAGCACGACAAACCCCCGUCUCUUAUAGUUUUAUAUAUAAUUUACUGGAUAUACAUAUACUCUAAAGUGUGUGUACGUGUAUGUGUGUGGGUGGGUGGAUGAAUGAAUGUAUGCGUAUGUAUGUGUGUUCGUCGCGAUA
rnacentral:lncRNA from 1 species